GACGAACGCUGGCGGCGUGCCUAAUACGCGCAAGUCGAGCGGACAGAUGGGAGCUUGCUCCCGGAAGUCAGCGGCGGACGGGUGAGUAACACGUGGGCAACCUGCCUGUAAGACUGGGAUAACUUCGGGAAACCGGAGCUAAUACCGGAUACGUUCUUUUCUCGCAUGAGAGAAGAUGGAAAGAUGGUUUCGGCUAUCACUUACAGAUGGGCCCGCGGCGCAUUAGCUAGUUGGUGAGGUAAUGGCUCACCAAGGCGACGAUGCGUAGCCGACCUGAGAGGGUGAUCGGCCACACUGGGACUGCGACACGGCCCAGACUCCUACGGGAGGCAGCAGUAGGGAAUCUUCCGCAAUGGACGAAAGUCUGACGGAGCAACGCCGCGUGAACGAUGAAGGCCUUCGGGUCGUAAAGUUCUGUUGUUAGGGAAGAACAAGUACCAGAGUAACUGCUGGUACCUUGACGGUACCUAACCAGAAAGCCACGGCUAACUACGUGCCAGCCGCCGCCGUAACAC
rnacentral:rRNA from 1 species